CGAACGCCGCGUGGAGGAUGAAGACCUUACGGGCCGUAAACUCCUUUCGACCGAGAUGAAUACCUGUCGACCUAAUACGUCGACAGGCUGACAGUAUCGAGGGAAGAAGCCCCGGCUAACUCCGUGCCAGCAGCCGCGGUAAUACGGGGGGGGCAAGCGUUGUCGGAAUUACUGGGCGUAAAGGGCUCGUAGGCGGCCAACUAAGUCGCACGUGAAAUCCCUCGGCUCAACCGGGGAACUGCGUGUGAUACUGGAUGGCUUGAGUCCGGGAGAGGGAUGCGGAAUUCCAGGUGUAGCGGUGAAAUGCGUAGAUAUCUGGAGGAACACCGGUGGCGAAGGCGGCAUCCUGGACCGGCACUGACGCUGAUGAGCGAAAGCCAGGGGAGCAAACGGGAUUAGAUACCCCGGUAGUCCUGGCCCUAAACGAUGAAUGCUUGGUGUGGCGGGUAUCGAUCCCUGCCGUGCCGAAGCUAACGCAUUAAGCAUUCCGCCUGGGGAGUACGGUCGCAAGGCUG
rnacentral:rRNA from 1 species